AGAACUGCAGAUAGUACAGCUUCCACAGGAGCAAGGGAUGUCUGAGCACAAGUGGCUGAGUUCCGAGUGACUUUAUGAAGCACUUUCUACCUUCCUCUCCGGCAUGAAAACAGGGAUUCUGCACCUGCAUCAUGGACAGUCUGGCAAAAGCCUCUGCUCUGCCUCCGGGGACAAGAAACUAGAGCAAAUAACCGUUUUGAAAUUAUCUCAUUUUCAAGAAAUGAAGCUUUCAUUAGUACUUUCCUACAAAAGCAAGAUAAUUUACUGAUGCUCUGACAAUCAUACACAGAGCUCAUUGUUCUCUGAAAUAUAUACACCAAAUUUUUCCUGUUUGAUUCAUCUAAAGACUAGUACAUUGUGCUCUCAUGGAGCCAAAGAAAGGAGGAGAGAUUUUAUUCCUACCAGAGAUCCUGGCAAAAUUACCAACAAUCAAUGAUGGAAACUGAAGGGAGAUUGAUUUAAAUCUUCAAUGACAGUUGUACAGAAGUUGAAGAAACACGUCAUCUUUCCAAAGAAGAGUGAGUAGCUUGGUUGGUGGUACCCUAAAAUUAGGGCAUGAUUAAGGUACGUCAUUUCUUUUAGUUCAAUCAAAGUGCUUUGCUGUUUCCAUUUCAGAGAAUUUCUUAUUCUUUUUUUCAAUUUCUCUCUCUUCCUCUUCUUCCUCUCAUUAGUAGAUGUCUUUUAUAAUUGAUGUCAUUUACUGUCCUUUCAUCAAAUGUAUGCCACAUCACUUAGGCGAACCAGCAGACAGGGCACCAAAAUACACAUUAGAGGAGACUGGCUUCCAUGAGACGCUUCGACUGUCUCAUCGGGGCACUUGUAAUAAGCAUCUUGGUGCCACUGAAUGCAAUGCUGUAUUCAAAUAAUAGCUUUCAUCUUCACUCUUUUUAAAUAUAAAAGUAAACCUUGAAGCCCUUUGAAGGACCUAACCAAACAACAUACCUAUGAAAAUAGAUCAGUAAGGCUUUGAGAAACAUUCUUAAGUAAAAUCUGUAAAGCAUCUUUGCAUUUUUUUUCAAGAAAGACCUCCAGGUAAAUGAUGGCUUUUAAUAAGACACAUGACAAUCUCAAUUACAAGAAUCAUUAGUGUGUGUCCUGUGCGCCAUUUUAUGUUCCCAGCAGGAUAUAUCUUUUCUCGUCUAGGGUUUCCAGGGCUGUCUACUGUUCUCUAUGUGUAAAACGUAUUUAAGUGUUCCCCCAAUGCUGCACUAAUGUUGAAACAAAACAAAACAAAAACGAAGAAACCUUUGUCAAGUGGUCAGACAGACUGGAACUAGAGGAUUAUAGGUAAGAGAGAUAAAAUGAAGGGUUGAAAGCUAUAAUUUCUAUUUAUGUGGUGGCAACCAAAUCAGCUGUUGGAGUCAGGCAAUUUAAAGAUGUGGCUACUGGAGCUCAGAGUCUGGGAAGAAGACACUUCUGCGUCUGACAGUGAAUCAGGCUCCCAGUUUUGAAGAUGUGCUGUAGGUAGUUCUCGCUGAAUCCAUUUCCCAGUUGGUUUCUAUUCCCCGCCCCAUUCCUGUGUCCCCACACUUUCCACUUGAUUUUACCUCUUUGACAAUUCUAUAUUUUACUUUCCUUCCUCUCAUUCCCCUUUUCCCACCCCCUUUUUUUACUGUAGUUCUUGGCCUCUGACUACUGUUCCAUGCUGGAUGUCCCCAGAAAAUAGAGUAUGUUUAGAAAGGAGACAGUGCAUCUCAGAAGGGCCUCCCCAGUCCACUAGUCCAUUUUUUAAUGUGUUGUGCUCUAUGGGUGUCAGGAAUAUUUGUAGAUGAAGUAAUUUGUGGCAUGAAUUUUGAUAGAAGCAGGAUCACCAACAAAAUGAUAAAUGUAGGUACCUGUCUACCUUGCAUAAUAUUCACUAUGAUCUUGAGAAUUUCAAUGUAUAAUUUGUCUUUAUUCUUAUUUUUCAUUAGAAUUAACAGAAUCUCAGAGCUGGUAGAAAGUAUAGAAACUGUAUAUACAACUCUCAUAUUCAGAUGAAGAAAAUGAUGCACAAAAAAUCAACUGUCCUAAGCCAUUCAGCUUGUCUAUAAGUGCUGUUGGCUUAAUUAUAGUUUUGCAUAUAUUUAGGCAAAGAAAAUACUUUCUCAGAAACUGGUUAGGACUGUUUGAGAAGAAAUAUAAUCAUCAAAAUAUAUACACAGUAAAAUGUAACCGUCCAUCAUUCAACAUAGGCAAGAAUAUAUAUUGAAUUGCCUGAGUGUAUUAUUCGUAUAGCAAAACUUACUUGAAUUUCUAAUAAAUCUUCUGACCUCUGUAUAUGUAUAAAAUAUAUAAACCAACCAAAUUCUGUACAUAAAUAUAUUUUUGGAUACCAGUACAAUCCCUAUUUCACUUUUGUGUAUUCCAGUUAUUUAUUACUCACAGUUCUGUAGUUUUAACCAGAACAAAGGGAUUACCCAGAAGAAAAGAAGGUAAGCUAUUUCAUCAGUUUUGGUGGAAAUCAGAAGUUUUUUUUUCUAUUAUUAGCUUUGUAUUCUUAAAAAAGAAAAAAGAAGGAGAAAAAAAAUCUCAUCUUCUCAUUUAUAAGAAUUCCCAUAAAAUUUGGCAGUGGUGAGGUGGGGAGGAAAUGCAUUAUCAAUAAACAGCUAGAUCCUAUUAUUGGAGACAAUCAGUUUUAUUCUGCAGAAAAUAUAGUUUGUUCUUGAAGAUUUAAUAGAUAUAAUAUUUUUUAAACCAACAUAUUAAAUAUACCAGUAAAUAUUUUUGUUAAACAAGGCUUUUAAAAUUUAAAUUAUACCCCUAAACUGGCUUUCUAGUUUUUCUGGAGAAAUAAAGAAAUUUUAAAGGAAAUAUCCACUCAGAUUAAUACUGCAAAUAUCAUACAAAAAUGUGUGUGGUGAUAUUACUGAAAAUGAGGAUUUUUGAAAACUAGAAGAGCAAAAAGUCGUUGCUCCAAAAGGCUUCAAGACUGCCUUAGGAUUAACAAUGCAAGUCUUCAAUGUAUUUAGGUAAUCAUAAUUUGAUUAGCUUUCUAAACCUAAACAUAUUUUGAUUCAAAUGUUUAAAAUAUGGUCAUCUCUUCAGUUAAAGAUGAACAUUUUGAUGAAAUAACAAUACUUAAAGCGUUCUCCGUCUCCACAAUUAAGUGCUACCUGUUAUUUAUUCAGAGCAUAUGUUUCAGUCUCAAAACACCAAGGACACAUCUCAGUGAAAUAAAAAUAAUCACUUUUUUUAAGAAAUCAGAAUCAUGUGGCAGUCGGCAGGCUUAAUUUAUAUUUUAUGGUCUCCAAAUUCAGAUGAAUAUCAUCAAGAUCUGAAUUGUCUCAAUGGCUGUCAUAAUUUAAAUAAUAAUAUAUCAAAAAUAUACACUACUAUCAUAUAAUUAAUUUGUAUAUAUGGAAAAUUGAAUUCUCUUAGCCAAAAAAGUACAGGGAAAUCAUCACAAAGGAGGAUGAACAUGAUUAUUUUUUCCUGUUACUUCUAUAGACUUCUCUGUAACAACUGAUAUGAAGAUAUCAUCAGAGUUUGUAGGGGUGCAGUAUCUGUGGUGUUAAUAAAGGUAUCUAUAAUCAAAUAUAGCAGAAAUAAUUAGGCUUCACGCCAAUUGCCUUUCCUAGAAUCUUCAGGGACAGGAAGUGCAGCUGUGUAUCACCUGCCCAUAUUCUACAAAUAGCACUGAAGGACAUAACUCAAUGAAACUUGAAAUCAGAUUGCACAAAAAUACAUUAUUCCCAAUUUUCUAUUUUUAUAUUGCUAGAUAAAUUGUAAAUUCACAGCAACAUUUGUCUACUGUUAUCUUUAUGUUGCAAAAUUACACUAAAUUUUGAGUGACAUCUUUAGCCAGGGGAGCCUAGAAACAUCCUUUGGCUAAAAAAUAAAAAGGUUAUAAUGUACAGUAGAGAAAACAUUUCUAGAAAAUAUGCCUUUCACUGUGCCUUUAAAAACCAAGAAUUUUUUAAAGGCACAGUGAAAGGUAUAUUUUGAUCAACAGCUUAUAUUGUUUAGAAAUUUGGCUGUGGUUUAGUAUUUUGUCAACUAAUUGUCAAUCACAAAGAAAAUUUAGAAAGAGAUGAAAUAGAAAUAAAAGUCUUAUUAGGAAUAGUAAUUAUAUAGAUAGUGAAAUUACUACUUUUUUUAUAAGGAGCAGUAAUUUCAUAAUGUAAUAACUUCCUUUUCAGUAAAAGAAAGUGAUUAACAAAGCUGAACAUUCACACAAGGCAAUGUACCACAUAAUUCAAAAUGCCAGUGCAAAAAUGUUAGUUAGUCAAUAAAGAUUCAAUGCUUGUCUGUAAUAAUUAGUCAUAGUUUCUGCACUUAGAAGGAAAGCUCUCCCCAGGAGUUGAGAAUUAGAGUGGAAGUGGAGAUUUUGAGUAUAAGAAAAGUGAAUUUCACUCAUGUUGCAGGGUUACACUGCUGUGAUGGAAGGCUUUCAUUUUUCAAGUAGGAAACAUGGAAAUUACAGUAACUAUGGCCAAUUCAUAUUGGCCUAGAGAACACUUUAUUUUUCUCUGGGCCCGAAUUUCUCAACAGGUGCCACUAUUGAUAUUUUGGACCAGAUAAUUCUUUGUCCUGAGGAAAUUUGCUGUGCAUUGGAGGAUUUUUAUCAGCAUUAUUGACCUCUCCCCAGUAGAUGCCAAUAGUAUCCCCUCCCACUAUGGUGAUAUCCAUAUAUUGCCGAAUGUUCCCUUGAGAACAAAAUCUGCUUAGACUAUUUGUCUAGGCAAUUUUGCUUUCUUCAUUUAUCUUUAUGCAAAAUUAGUUUGAUUGGUUAUUUGCAUUCACAUUAAUAGGAAUUUUGCACAGAGAAAGUUUAUGUAAUAAGUUAAGAAUAGCUCUACAAUGCAAAUGUUUCUGCAGGAUAUAAAAAUAAGAAUCGCAAUGGUACAUUCAUCUCUUGAAAUAUUUGCUACACAACACAUGUUGAAUGUUGAAAGAUGUUGAAUGUAGGCUCUUAUUUUGUGCCUUAUUUGAAAAUUUGCAGUGCAAAUAAGGUAAAUAGAUGCAAAAUGUUUGCCUUUGGGUAUGAAAAAGUUUUCUUGUGUAUUAUAGUUAAAUAUGGUAAUAGGUUUUUAGAGGUAACUUUCUGUGGCAGUGAACAAAACAAGACCCUACUAUGAUGAUUCUACAUGGAGCUGAUUUUAACAGAAGAGUAGCCUUCAUUGUGCCUUUCCAUAAAUGUUGGCUUUAUCCAUGUAUUAAAGCACAGAUUUCUUGGGAGACCACAAACAUUGAGAGUGAAAGAUAAAAUCUGAAGAGAACCUGGGAAAUCAUCAUUAAAUUGAGCUGAUAAUCAUGAUAAUCAUGUCUAAAAUAUGGACUGUUAACUUUUUUUAAACUAAGAUGAGAUGGCAGAGAAGCUAUUAACUUAAUAUGCCUCUCUCUCUCUCUCUCUCUGUGUGUGUGUGUGUGUGUGUGUGUGUGUGUGUGUUUUGGUGGAAAUAAAUUGAUAAGAAAGGAAAAAAUAAUAGUCACAUGGAAGCUUAGGAGGCAAGUCAAUAACAGAGAAAUAUCUAGGUAGUAUGAAAUCUUCAGCUUUACACAAUAGAAAAAAGUAUAUUAUAUGGAAUUGAUCCAUUAUUGUUUCAAAAAUGGUGAAAGUUGUUAAACCAGUAACUUUUAGCUUAGUUUAUCUGUUAAAAAAAAGCUACAUGAACAAUUCAAGAUUUAGUAAAUGUUGAAGAUUUCCCUUCAGUAUGAAUUUAUAAAUAUCUAAUGAGUGUGUGUGUUUGUGUAUAUGGCUUCCUCAUUGAGCACCUGGAAUGACUUAGCUAAUUUGCCCUUCAUUCUUUAUGACUUUCAUGGAUAAUUUCCCAAAGCUCCUAAGGAUUAUUUAUUUAUUUAUUUAUUUAUUUACUUAUUUUUGGGACUGGUUCUCGCUCUGUUGCCCAGGCUGGAGUGCAGUGCCGUGAUUAUGGCUCAUUGCAGCCUCAACCUCCCCCACUCAGGCAAUCCUCCUACCUCAGCCUCCAUUGUAGGUGGAACCAUAGGUGUGUGCCACCACAUCCAGCUAUUUUUUAAAAAAAUUAUUUGCAGAGAUGAAAUCCUCCUGUAUUGUUCAGGCUGGUCUUGGUAUCCUGAACUCAAGUGAUCCUCCCAGUUUGGCCUCCAAAAGUGUUGGCAUUACAGGCAUGAGCCACCUCACCUCACCAGGUCACUUACUUUAAAAUUUUCUACUAGGUGAUGUGAAGGCCCCCAAAUUUAAAUAUACCAAUAUUUCUCUUUUAUUAUAUUUUUAAAAUUUGAGGUUUUAAUAAGCUAUCUAGAUCCAUGAAUAUUAAAAUAGAUUUUUCUUUUGUAGACCCAGCAUUGUUCACUGAGGAUAGAUGUGGGAUCAGUUCCUUUCAGGUAUUAAUUGUAAUGUUGCUAAACAUAUUACCAUGAAUCUGUAGUAUCAAAAUUCAGAUAUUAAACUUGGGAGGAUUUAUAGUCCAACUUGUAGUAACUAAAUAAUAAAAUGGUGGCAUGAUUAUAGUUCAAUUUUUUUCUUUAUGAAGAGCUUAGGGUAACAAUGCUUUGUUCCUGUAUGUUGCACUUUUAAAUUACAGUAAAGUGUUUCCCUGAAAACAAAUAAUAUGGCAUGCAAUAAAGGGGAAAAGUGGAUAUGAGAACUUAUCCUUGCCAGUAUAUUUGAAAUGUGACUAAACAUUUUUACAGUGAAUAUGUUCAUAUUGAAAAGAAAUUACAAUUUCCUUUAACCAAGUACUGGGUCACUAUUUCUUCCAACUUAGUUAUUGAAGAAACACUCAGCUACCAUAGAUUUGCUAGGCCGAAGUUUCUCAAACUUUAGCUGUGUCAGCAUUACUUGGGGGGUUAAUUGGAAUGCAUAUUGCUGGGCUUGAUGAUCAGAGUUUCUGAGAACUUGUGUUCCUAACAAGUUCUCCGGCGAUGCAGUAGUAUAGAGAGGCAUUGUUCUGGAGACAUGCUUAAUUUUAGGUACAACUUAUUUUGACUUGAGAACUUUCUCUUUAUUAAAAUAGCAAAGGCGGUGUAGAUGAAAAUAAAUAAAUUGUAUUCAUUUGGGUUUUCUCAUUUGCAACAGACCACAUCAGCAUUACCACUGGAAAGAAUGACUUAGGAGAGUGGUUGUUUUAAUGAGAGAUUCUUUACAUGCCAUUGAAAGACAGGAAACCUUAAAAGAAAAACAAAACUGAUAAUCAACUCCUAAAUGGGGAUUUGAAUUAGCUAAAAUCUUUUUUUUUUCAAAUGCCUACUACAAAGUCAAAGUUCAUUCUCCUAGACUAGCAAAUACUUUUUUAUCAAUAUUUGUUUAUAUUUUCCCAUAAUUAUCCUUAUUUCACCUGCCACAAAAGAAUUAAUCAUUUUAUGUCCUCAGUCUUCAGCCCUCCCUAAAGUACCCAAUAGCUCUUGUCCUUCUAUAAGUCAUCACCUACGUGUACUUUAAGACCCCGCUAAUUCAAUAAUUUUAUUUAAACGUUGAUAGGAUUCUAUUAAAUUUAAGGUAUAUUAUUAAUUAAACUAGAGGACAUCUGCUGUAGUGAAUAAAUUAUCCAUGAUUUAAAAGCAAAAUUCAAAGGUAGACAAGGCCACCUGCGGCCAUAGAGGCUGUGUAACUUCAGAAAGAACACUUAUGAGUUAAUGAUAGGAAUGGCACUCUCUGGAAUUGUACAAUCCAGUGUGCCUUAGUCAGAUAUAAUAGGUCAGGUUUAGCAAGACAGGCAUAAAGUUCUAGCCUUAACUUCAAAAUUCCAUAGAAUGUGGGAGACAUGAAAUAAGAAUGGCACAUGGGACUUUUGGCUAUUAGUUGACCAUGAAUAGCUCAGUGUGAUUCAAUAGUGAUAUGUAACUGCCCUCAAAAACUAUGAAAAGCUUAGAGUUUCAGCAGAGGAUGGUGUAUCUGUUAUGAGUGAGAUGAGAAGUCUCUCUCUUCAUGGCUGGUAGAAUGAAUCCAGAAUUGUCAACUUCACAUAAGUCUCAGAAUAUCCUCAACCCUGCCUGUUUUAGGUGAAACUAAUGCACCAAUUAUUUCAUUCAUUUACAGAGAAACUUAAGCUAAUAUGUACAUUCAGUACAAUAAGUAAUACAGACCCCUCAACAGAAAAAAAAAAACACCAGAAAUUAUCAAACUGAAUUUCUUCAAUUAAUUUCAAUUUAAUUUGUGUGGACAAAUAUGUAUUGGUUUUGACAAUAAAAUAUGUCAAAAUACUGUAGUGUUUAAAAUUCCCAUAUGGAAAUAUGGCACCAUGAUUGUAGCUUCUGAAUGAAAAACAGAGUUUUCAGUAAUUUGUACUCUUCUGACUACAUAGCAUGGGAAGUUGAGAAAGAAAUUCUUCUAGGUUGAAUACUGGAAAAAUCAUCAUCUGUUUCCUCUACUCAGUCACUAGUAUACAAAGAAGGACUUAAGCAGAUUUGCUGAUUAAUUUAUCGGUAUCUAAACAUUUUGUUUUCUCUUAAUUCAGUGGAUGAGCUAUAGUACUGGAACAUUUAUAGCUAAACUUUGUUAUUUGGUUAUUGUCCUUAUAAAACCAACUUUUGCUGAUAAAACAUAUUAACACUUAUGGAUGCUUUAUAAAUCCAAUAAUACAGCUUUGAGAGCAUUUACUCUGUUUCCCACAAAUUUUAAUAAGCCUGGCUCAGCUUUUUCGACUGAAGCAAAUGCACAGACCUCUACACUUCAACAUGAAGACCUCCAGUUCACAAUGUGCAUAUCCAAAGCACUGAUACUAAUGCUGUAUCCAGAGAUUUCAAUGGGGAGGGUAAUCUGUAAUAACAAAAUUGUAUCCCUUCCUUCCUGCAAUUACCUCACUAUCCUCACAGCCUUGACAUCUGGAAACCCACUGCUACUGUAGCAGCUGUGACUCCUCUCCUAGCAGGAAGUUAACUACACAUUCCAAAGAGCACCAAUUGUUUUGAUAUUUUCUGGCAGCUCAAAAAGCUUGGAUAUUGGUGAACACAUUAUUUUGUGGCAACCACAUUUUGGAAUUAUACACAAAUGUACAACAUGUCACAAUCUGAACAACUUACAGGUGUUAAUGUUGUCUUUCUCUUAAUGAUAUCAUAUUCCAAAUUUAAUCAUUUUAAAUAUAGAGUAGUAUGUUAGAGAAUUAAACCUCAUUCUGCUCAUACUCACUUCUGCCAUCAUUUUCUCAAAUGAUCAACACGGAAGAAGACUUACCCAAAAAUAUGCUCCUAUUUAAAUCAUUGGAAGAGAAUUAAUUAAUUUGAGUUAGAAAGUAAGUAUUGUGAGAAUCAUCCUGCUCUGUAUUUGCCCACGUAGCACCUCUGUUAGCAGAGAUUUUCAGAUACUUAUUAAUUUUCUAGAAAUCGAGACCUCCAAAAGAAGAGCAGAAAUAUUAAAUGUUGGGCAAAUCUAACUGCAUUUUAGUGUCACCAAAUGCCUAAAAUUAUUUUGUGUUUUUGAGCUGAUAAAUCUAUAUAUUUUUUAUUCAGAUUUCUCUUAUUCUUUAAAAAUAAUCAAAGGGAUGACUGCUGGAUUGAUUUACUGCAAAUUUAUCUUUGAAAUGGCUACAAAUAAUUGUUAUUCUCAUUUUAAGAGCAUUAGUGUCUUUUGUUCAUCAAAUUAAGAAUGAAAUGGAUUUUAGUACUGCCCUACAAUUACUUUGGUAAUCAAAAUGAUUGCCAAUGAUCUCCAAGAAACUAAACUGUCUUGCUACAGAACAGAUUGAGGAUUGUUUUGAUUCACAGGAAAGCUCUGCAAAAAUAUGAUUAAUUAUGAUUUUGAUUUAGUUUAUAAUUUUAUUUUUUAUUUCCGUUUUCCCUCUUCCCUACAUUCUUUUAAAAUAUGGCAAAGUUUUCCAUUGUAUAUUUUUAUUUGACCUAAUUUCCAAUUAAAUUUAAUAUUUCUCCUUGCUUAAUUAUUUCUUCUGGAAUUUUACACUCAUAGUGAUUAAAUCUCAAUCUCCUCUCUCUUAUUCUCUUUCUUUUUUUAUUCUCUUUUUCUAUCACACACAAUUUAAUAGUUCAUCUUAAGUGAUUUCUGAUGCCUUGUAUUCAGUGACUCUAAUUUCUAAUAUCCUCUUCUUGUUAAAAAUAUUUUUGCAAUGUAUUUAUAAUAUCUUUCUAUUACACUGAUUCUGUGUUAUGUUUAAGCGUUUGAUCACUUUUAUUCAAAUGUUCCUAUGAUAACCAGAAGAUACUGUGCAUUCUCAUAUUAUUUUAAUGCUCCAAUGUAUACUGCAGGCUUAAAUAACCAUAAAAGUAAUGUUUGUUUAGAAAGUGACUGGUUUGUUUACCUUCACUGCUGCAGAAAAUCUCACUAGGCAAUUUGCCUGGGGCUGAUACUUGUAACCAUUAGCAAUUAUGGAUUCUAGAAAGACGUUGAUAGGAAGUUUUUAAAAAGCUAUUUCAAAAUCGGACACAAAAAAUACAACACAUUUUCUAGGAUUGUUUUUCUUGCCAUUCAUGCUGCUUGCCUUUCUUAUCUUAACUAAAAUUCACUUUUCAUCAGCCUGCAAUGAGUCACAAAAAAUGCUGUAUCAAUCUUGGGUUGUUCCUGGACAUUCAUAGUCAGAUAAAUUAUUUUCAGAAUCAGCAAAGCAGAAUUAUUUUUAUAAAAUGGUGUCUUUACACAUCAUUGAUGUUUUGCAGAGGUCUGGACAAAACGCCAGUGAUGUACUUUUAAUUGCCAAGGGAUCCACUUACACAAAGGAGACAUGGGCACACCAUUCUACCGUCAGGGCACUCAUCAUUUGACUUAUGUAUUGGACUUUAGGGGAAACACAAAGAGGAUGCCUGGGACACUGUUCUCAUCCUCUAAAGUCUUUACUAAUAAUAUGUCAAAGUUGAGUAAUAAUACACACUAAGUAAAAGCUUUUCAACAGAAGCAUCUCCAUUAAUCUCCACUUUGGGCCAGACAGCAAACUGAGCCUCUGUUUCUAUUAAAUACAAACUGAUCUGAAAUAUUUAGAACAAAGAAAGCACAUCCUUUCAGCUAAAAGUUAUAGAUAUCCUUUGCUACAUGACAAAUGGUUAAAAUUAUCAAAUAUUUAUAACAAUAUGAUUGAAGAGUUCAGUUACAGGCUUUGAUUUUGACUGUUUGCUUGUUGAUGAGUGUUGUGCAGAAAUGCCCAAUAUGUUUGAAUUGCUUCACUUUGAGCAUGAUUUGUGCCAGAAAUAGUGCUGAUUAAGCUGUUUUUUUUUUCCUUUUUCUUACACAUUUAAAAAUCACUCUUUAUUUUCCAAAGACCUCUUGGUCAGAAACUUGCAUUCAAGAAUUUUGCUAUGCCAUAAUAUAAUAAAAUGUAUCAAGGCAGAAAAUAAAAUAAGCAGAUGAUUUAUGCAUAAGACGUUUUGCCUUUAAGCUAUUCAAACCUGACUUUAGUGAAGUUUAUUAUCAAAAGUUUCUCACCUGAUAACAUAAAUUUUGACAGAAUGGAAAUGUUAGUUUUAGCCAAUAAACAUACAGCCUUUAAUCAUCCCAAAAUUUUCACCUAGGAAAGAAACUGGAAAUAGUUCUUAAGUCUAAUUAGAAUGGAGAGAUAAGUAACAUUUUUAAUACUAGAUUUAAUCUUGGCAAAAAUAUCUGUAUCUCUAACUCAAACUCACUAUCUACUUUUUAAAAAUAAUAUUGCUCAUCUUUUAAUAUAAAGGAGAAUCACCAUAUAAGCCAUUAAGACCUAAAAUACACUGGGUGCUGGAAGCUAUCAUUGACAUACUGUCAUUCAAAAAUUACAUAUGUAUUUGGCAUAAAUGUAAUAGUUCAUGUACAAUGAGCCAUCAAGACUAUGUGCAAAUCCCAAGAACUACUUCCUUUUUCUAGUUUUCUUAAAGAAAUAAGACAUAAUGAAUCUAUUACGAGAAUCUCCCACAGUGUAGCUUCCCCUUAAUAAUGUAGUAUAUACAUUUAAAAUUACAAUGUAAUGCUUAAAAAUUGUUAACAUUUUACAAUUUUUUAAAUUUAGAGACUUGAUCUGGAGAGCAUUGGGUGUGAUUCUGCAAAUCAUGCAGCAUAUAUUUUAUUACAGACUUAGCUGCUGAGGUUUCUUACAGAGGUCAAAUGUGUGUGUUUAUGUUCUGCUUAGUCUUAUGACAAAAUAUAUCACUAUUGCUUAAAAAGAAAAACAUAUAAAGAAGAGAACUACAAUGUUCUUAACUCCUAGCCUACAAAUGCCACUAAGCUGUCCACAUCAAGACAUUUGAAGUUAGCGUCUCAUCAUUUUAAACCCAGAUGUGUGUAUUUUGGGCACAUUUUUUUGAGCACUACAUAAUCAUAAUGUAACCUAAAAUAACAAUGGAAGAAAACUAAGCUCUGCUUGAUAAAAUGCACUUUAUUUUACAUGGUGUUCACAGAAUGGCUUAGAUUAAAAAAAUGAAAUCUGUCUUAGUUUAAGACAGAAGCACAAAGACAUUUCCCUUCUGGACAACAGACUUUGGCAUUGCAAGAUCAAAGGAACAAUUUUAUCUGCAUUGUGACUACAGACCAAAAGAUUUUACAGUAUUCCUGUCUCCGUGCUAAAGCCUAUGUGUCUUUAAUGGCAUUUAAAUUAUAGCCCUCUGUAGCCAUGCAGUCAAAACACCACAUCAUCUGAUGGGACACCAUGUUAUAUUCUGUCAGUAUGUCUCAUUUAAAAAUUCUUCUAUACUGUACUUGCCCUCAUUUUUCUCUUCUGGAAGAAAAAUUGAGUAAACUGCCUUUUUAACUAGGUUUACGAGUUGAAGUAAUCAAGAUAGACAAAGACAUACUUUGGCUUACAUUAUUUUAACUUAAUAAAUUUAAACCAACUUAAAGAUUUUUUUUAUUCUUUUCAUUCUUCCACAUUUUUGUUUGUUUGAUUUUAGGAUUUUCUUCUCUCUAACGUAUCACAUGGCACAUGGCAUACUAUAGACUUUUGUGACAUGAAAAAUAAAAAUGUGUUCCCAUCAGAAAAUUAUAGCUAAAGCAUCGCUUUUUCUAAGCAAAGUAUUUUACGUUAAACUGAUUUAUAAUAGAAUGACUAUUAUAUAUAAAAGAAAGGAGCUGUUCUCUGAAUUCUGCUAUAGCACAUAAUGCAGAUGGUGUGUUUCAAAUGUCACUGGAGAGACAAGUUUUCAUUUGAAUAUGUACUUCUAACAUAAUGUUUAUUAUAGUAACUUAACAAUAAAAACUUGCUGAAAAUUAGCAUUUUACUCAGAAUAUUCCUGUACGUAUAAAAAUAAGAUAUUACAUUUUCUUGAUCUGCAGUCCAAUACUCUACUCCUGAGCUGUACACCCUCCUAGAUGUUACAUUUUCUACAGAAUCAAUGAGCUUUUUCUCAAAAAUAGAUAUAAUCAGGAAUACACAAUUAACCUACACCUUCCUGAUAUCCAAUAUUAUAUAUAUUGAUAAGUAGUUACAGCCAUUUGAAAAAGUAAAACAUUUUUUUUCAGGAGCAUAUGCUAGAUUAGUAACUGAUGGAUAACUUUGCUUUCAUGCUUCAGAAUACAACAGGGAGUUUCAUGCAUUUUUAAGAGUAGAUUUAAAUAACUUGAAAAUAUAAUGAAUUUUUAAAUCACAUGUUCAUUUUAAGAUUGAGAUGCAAUAUGCUUGUUGAGGAUAAGUGAUUUUAACAUGCCCAUGGGAGGCAUUUCUUUAAAGUGACACUAUCUUAGAUAAAAUCAACGGAGAAUAUUUAUGAGAAUAUGUAUAUCUGUUUUGGAAAAAGCCAACCAUUACAAUAUAUUGAUUCUGAUUUUGACUGACUUUUAUACCUAUUAUUUUUGUGUAGAAAAUCACAUCUUCUAUUUGCCACAUAUAGGGUAGAAAUAAAGGGGGCUACUGGAAACAUAACAGAUUUGAGGUGUAAAGUCUUUUUCUAAAUCUGGAAAUGCCAAGGAACCUUUGACAUAUUUUACUUAGCUGAGGAAUCAGGUAAAAAAUGCAGAAGGUAUUUAUUGAGAAUGGGGAUAAUUUAUUAUAACACUUUCUCAUUGAAUUAGGAUUGGAUGUCUCCAUACUUGGCUGACAUUUGAUAAGAAAUCAUUGUCAAAUAAGAAAUUAUUGUCAGAAUAUUGUGUAGCUAAGUGGGAACAUAUGAUGCAAUAUUUUCAUUAAAAUACUUUUUUUUUCUUAUUGGGAGCAAAAAAAAUCGUGGUUUUCAGAGGCAAAAGAAUAGAGUAGAAAGAACACUUUUCUUUGUGUGGAAAAUAGUUAAUUUUAUAUCCCCAUUCUCUUCUACCCUACAACACUAGGAUAAUUCCCAGAAUUAUUUCUGGAAAUAUGUUAUUUGAUAAAUACUAAAGACUAUGUGCAAUAUAACGAACACUUGUAAAUCUGUUAUCCAAUUUAAGAACUAGAGCAGCAUCAAAAUUGAUAAAGCAACCUCUGUACUUCUCUGCCUUCUCUCCCUCAGAGGUUACUAUUAUCAAAGUCUCCACGUACAGUUGUGCAGGUUGUGUACUUUACAAAUCUAGGGAAUGCCUACCCUUACAUACAGUUCUGAUAUGAACAAUUCCCCUUAAAGUGUGCAGCGCAUCACCUACACAGGUUUUCACGAUGGUUCUCCAUCCUCCUGAAUUUCAGGGUUACCUUUUCAAAUGAAAGUUUAGCUUGGUUUGAGCUUUACAAAAAUGGUAAUAUUUUGUACAUAUUCCUACUAUUACUGGCUUUUCUUCAGUCAAAAUAUGUUUCUAAUUGUCAUCUACAUUGUUGCAUAUAGUUUUAGGUUCAUUUUAUUCCUUGGGGUAUAGUAUUAAAUUAUGUAAGCAUUCUUAAUUUAUUUUUUGUCCUCCUUUUUGGACAUCUAAAUUGUUAUCUGCUUUGGAAUUAAGCAAGCUGUUGCAGCAAGUAUUCUUGUAUGCAUCUCUUGGUGCACAUGGGCAAUAAAUGCUCUAAAGUAUGUACUAGAAUAGAAAUUUCUGAGUCAUAGGUUUGUGGAUGGAUUAAGGGUAUAUAUGUGGAAGGUAAAACUUUAAAACUCUAAUGAAUAUAUAUGAAGCAUAUUAUGAUAUUAAUAUAAAACUAGACAAGCUUCCUUUUAAAAGACCUAAAUAUUUUCUAAUAUUAAAUACUUUCAUCAUUUUUACAAGUAUUAUUUAUACACAGGCAUCAAUUCUAUGUAUAAGUAGCUACUUGAGUGGUUUUAUAAAAUACCUGCCUUGCUAAACCAAUCAACAACCAUUCUCUCCAAAUCUAUUAUCUAGAAGAGGAAGCAAAGCCAGAAUCCAUUUUGGUUAUCUUAAUAUUAAUUAAACAAAUUUAUUUUAAACUCAGAAAAUGGAGAUCAAAAUUAAAGGACUGAGCCAAUGCAAAAAUGACCCAUUUCAUUUUUCUUCCCAUACCCUUUUCAAACCACUUUUGGAAAUACUAAAUAUUAACACCAAACCUGAAGAUUAUAAUUACAAUCAUAAGUAUAAGAAAGUAGAGAAUUGUACAGAAAAUUACUAGAUAGAUUUUUAUUAUUGUGGUAAAAUGUACAUGAUAUAAAUUUAACAAUUUUAACCAUUUUAAGUGUACAGUUCAGGGGCAUUAAGUAAAUUCACAUCAUUGUGCAAAAUCACCAUCGAUCAUCUCUACCUCUUCUAUUAUUUACCUUUUCAAACUAAAACUCUGUACUCAGUAUACAAUAACACCUAACACCUAUCCUGCCUCUUUCUAUCUCCUGUCAACCACCAUAUUACUUUCUGUCUUUAUAAAUUUGACUACUCUAGUUGUUUCAUGUAAGUGAAACCAUGUAAUAUUUGUCUUUUUGUGACUGACUUAUUUCACUUAGCAUAAUGUCUUCAAGUUUCAUCCAUAUUGUAGCAGAAUAUUCUUCAUUAAGGCUGAGUAGUAUUCCAUUAUCUGUGUGUGUGUGUGUAUAUAUAUAUAUAAUAUAGAUAUAAAAUCAGAAGAUAUUAUAUAUAUAAUCAUAAGAUUUUUAUAUAUGUAUAUCACAUUUCAUUUAUCCAUUCAACCAUUGAUGAACAGAGAGCAGUGGGUUGCUCCACCUUCUGGUAAUUGUAAAUACUGUUUAUUUGAACAGACGUAUACAAAUAUCUUUUUUAGUCUUUGCUUUCAAUUAUUUUUAGCUAUGAAGAUUUUUAAGAACUCCCAUUCGUUAUCAUCCUGGGCAGUUGCCAUCCUAGGUGUUAAAAGAAAACUCUGAGACUGGCCGGGCAUGGUGGCUUAUGCCUGUAAUCCCAGCAAUUUGAGAGGCUGAGGCAGGUGAAUCGCUUGAGCUCCAGCCUGGGCAAUAUGACAAAACCCUGUCUCUACAAUAAAUACAAAAUACACCACAGGGCAUGGUGGCAUGUGCCUGGAGUCCCAGCUACUCAGAAGGCUGAGGUGGGAGAAUCACUUGAACCUAUGAGACAGAGGUUGCAGUGAUCCGAGAUCGCACCACUGCUCUCCAGCCUGGGGAAUAGAGCUGGACCUUGUCACAAAACAAAACACCCUGAGAAUACUUUCUUUAGAUUGGCAGAAGGAAGGAUAGAGACAAUACACGUUUUAUAUAUUUUCUUUUACAAUAUUUUUGUUACUUGAAUGCAUUUAAUUUUCUAAAAAUGAACAAGUGUUAUUGAUACAGUAUCCAAAUUGCUAUAUUCUAAUUUCAAUAAUAUGAAACCAUUAGAAUUUUAAGUAUAGACACAAAGUUACUAAUUUGAAUAGCAGAUUUUAUAAACACUUUUUUUCAUGCUACUCCACUUAAUAAUGGGAUACAUUUGCAUGGAAUACUAAUCAAAAAAUACUUUAUUCUACUUCAUUAAUAUUUGCCAAUACAAUCAGAUGAUUAUUUGAUAGAUAAGCCAAUAGACAGAUAGAUAAAUGACAGAUAGAUAGAUAGAUAGAUAGAUAGAUAGAUAGAUAGAUAGAUAGACAGACAGAUAGAUAGUCAAGUCAGUCUGGCUCAACUCUUUCUUGACCAUUUUACAGGUGAUGAAACACAUUUUGAGAGGUAAAGUGUACAAGGCCCUUCAAUUAAAAAGUGGCAGUAUCAAAGUUCAAACUUUAGUCUUCCUGGUAUCAAAAUGCAUUUCAUCCACUAUAGAUUCUGCCUUUCUUAGCUAAAUGAAUCCUCACCAAAACACCAUGAAGUAGAUAGCGGAGUUGGCAGCUGUUCGUUUACUCUUGAGAAACAGAUCUUUGAGAUAUUAAAUAAUUACCUUAGGAUUUCAUAGCUGAUAAGUGGUAUAAUAAUAUCUCAAAUCUUCUGGCUUUUAAUGUAUACUUUUUCCAUAACCUGUGCAACCCAUGACCACCAUUUAGUUUUUACUGAUAUUAACAUAGAGUAUUUUAUCCCAGGCAAUGAAAUAUUAACUGUGUAUACUGAAUGCAUAUUUUAAAUAUUAAGUUAAGUAUAUAACUUGCCCUAUGCCAUAUUGCUUUAAUCAGGGGACUGAGCAUCACAUUUAGAUUUGAUGAGUUUGGGAAAAGUUCUCAAACAUCCAGACCCAUGGACCUUAAGAAUUACUGCAGAAAUCUCCUUCAAUAUAGUUAUAGGGAGCAUUAAUGCUUUUGUGGUACUAAACAUAUUUUUGAGCUUAGAUACAAAUCCUUCUUGUCCUGAACUGAUAGGGUAGGAAUUGUUUAGGUGCUUCAAAUCCAGAUCUUUCAGGGGUUGCCACCUAAACUCAUCUUUAUGAGUAACUCUAGAUAAUAAUACACUUUGGUAUCUUCCAAAGUGCUUAUCUAGGCAUGGAAAAGUUCAGUAAUUAUCAUGAGGACUGUUUGUAGUUUAGUUCUUUUUGAAUUUUAGUGAAUAGAAGUAUCAUUCAUGCCUUAACACAUGAGGGAAAUCCCCUAAAGGUAACUACUCAUUAUCCUUUGGGUUAAUCUAGUUUCAUGUCAAAGAACUGGACUAUCAUUUCCACAGGCUCAUGCAAAAAGAACAAGCACAGGUGUAGUGAAUUUAUCCUUCUCUUUAUGUGGCCUGAAAAUUUCACCCUGUAGUCACUUCAUCAAAAUAUCUUUGCUCCUUUCAUCAUAAUUAUUUCCAAAAAGAAGGAGCAAAAGGCACUGUUAAUUUUUAAAUGUGGAACUAUGAAAUAAAUAAUAGUUCACAUAAUAAUUCAUAAAAUAUGAAUGGUACUCUUUUAAAAAAGUCCCAGAACCCCUUCCUGUAUUUCUCUUAAAAAAACGCAAUACUAUUACAUCUUUGUUGUUACAAGAGUGUUUAUCACCUUUACAACUACUGGGCUUCAUUUUCAACUAAAGAGAUCUAUAUUCUAAACCUAUCAGUAAUACCUAUGCUAUAACAAGCUCUUAUCAAUGCUCAUAUAGUGCCUGUCUCCUAGAGCAUACAAUUUUAGAUUCAUUUUGCUUUUAUUAAAUUGAUUUCACUUCCUCCAACAUUUUUAUUUCAUUAGCGCAAAACAAAAUGGAGCUUAAUGAUUCCUUAAAGCUGAAAUAAAGGACAAAACAUUUUGUUGGUAAAAAGUAGUUGGUAAUAAUGCUAAAAUAUUUUCAGAUACAACUAAAAUGGAGUUGACUAGAAAAAAGAGAAACGUAAUUUGGAUAUGAACAUUAAUUUAAAAAUGCAAACAUUUUGAAAUAUUAGUACAACACAAUUUUAUUUCUGAAUGAGAAUGGUUAUUUGUCUUCAUGUCUUCAUCAUUUAAAUGAAUAAACUUUGUUUUUCUUAUCAUGGAACAACUAAUUGCAUUGAAGUUUUUCCACAUAAAAUAGAAAUAGUUAUCUCUCAGACAUCAAUUUUGUAAGAAGCCUGCUGCCAUUGAGCACUGAUAUAGUCAUUUAUUUUGGAAGAGCUGCAUUCUGACUAUGAGAAAAUACUUCUCCAAGAUCAAUUUGCCUUAAAGUUUGGGAAGUGGCCAUUCUUUUAUAUGAUACUCUUCCUCCCACUUCAAAAUAUUUACUGUAAAAAUAUACACAAAAUGUGAGACCCAAAAUGUUUUAAAAACUUGAACAGUUUGGAGGCAACCAAGACAUAUAUUCUAAAAUAUUAUGAAGGCAGGUGAAUAAAUAAAGGCUUCGAUUUAAAAAUAUGGAAGGCAGUCAAGUAAACAAAGAAAGAAAAAGAACAAAGUGGGGAAAUAAUACAGGUGUCUGUGGUUGUCAUUGCUCAGAAUAUGAGGAUCUGUUUGGAAAAGGAAAAUAAAGCAUAUUGACUUAUUAGUUCACUUCUAAAAAUACAUACUACUUAAAGCAAGGCAAUUAUAUAAUUUAAAAAAUAGAUACAUAUGCAUAUUACUAAAAUAUAUACAUAUAUAAUAUAAAAUUACAUAUAUACAUACAAAUCAAAACCAUCAGUGCAAUAAUUCGUUUGCUUUUUAGAAACAAUCACUAUCAUAUGCAAUUAAUUUCAUGUUUGAAUACAGUAUAUUGAUAGGCACUACAGUUGUUUCUAGAAUGAAGUCAUUAUUUUAUGUUGGUAAUGUGGUUUGGCUUAACGUAGUUAAAUUUAAAUUUAACUAAAUAUACUUAAGAAUUAACUCAAAAUUUUAGAUUUGAAAGUACCUGAAAUUGUCCAAUAUGGUCAAAGUCUAGACAUUACUUCUUUGCAUUUGCAUUUUACAUUUUUUUCUUUUUGACUUAUCUGUUUUGAAGUGGAUUUCUACUAAAUUUCCGUACUGCAUUUUAUAUGGUGUUGCUGGAAACUAUGUAUUGAUUUUUUUCCUAUGGCUUCUGUGGUAGAGGAACUAAUGUGCAACUGACCUUACAAAUGAUAUUCAACAACUCUAGAGGAAAGACACAUCUCCAGUUAAAAAUGAAGGGUGCACAUGGGUUACUCAACAUGUGAGUCAUCAAGAAAUGCAAUACUGUGCAAUGACUGGUGAAUCACAGUCUCUAAAGGAAGCUUUUUGAGAUUUUUACACAGAUGGCUAUGCAAAGCAUAAAUAAGUGUGAGGAGGAAGGGAAAAGAAAGGAGGGAAAAAAUAAAUGUGUGGGAGGACAGGCAACUGCAACUUUCAUUGUUCUUUAUUUUCUUGACCAUUGAACUAACUACUUAGAUAAACCCUACAACUCUUCUCUUCAAUUGCCAUUACAUGUCCACAUAGCCUUUUAAAAACUCUAAAUUUCACCUCAUUCGAUUUAGAAUUUUUUUUUUAACUUUACACCUUGUAAGUGAUUUGGGGAAUGAGUUUCUGUGUUGUUUACAUAAUGCUCUUGUCUAUGCUGUGAUAGGCUGCGUGAGAGCAGGAACCCCACGCCUUACAGUCUACAAAGACCCAAUACAGGAUAGAAAGUAGAGGGGAGGAAGGAAGGCCUCCCAAAGUUAUUUUUACACCUUUAUAAUUUAUUCCAAUAAAUUUUUAAACUCUGUCUCUUGCUUCUCCACCUUCACUUGUCACAAUUCAAAUCAAGUUGAAAAUAUUUUAAAAUAACAAACUGAUUGGCUGGGUGCAGUGGCUCACACCUUAAUUCCAGCACUUUGGGAGGCUGAAACAGGAGGAUUGUUUGAGCCCAGGAGUUCAAAACCAGCCUGGACAACAUAGGGCGAACCUAUCUCUACAAAAAAAUACAAAAAUUAGCUGGGCGUCAUGCCAUGUGCUUGUGGUCUCAGCUACUUGGGAGACUGAGGCCAGAUAAUUGCUUGAGUCAGGGAGGUUAAGGCUGCAAUGAGCUGUGGUCACACCACUGCACUUCAGCCUGGGAAACAGAGUGAGCUCCUGUCUCAAAACAUAAAUAAAUAAAUAAAUAAAUAAAUAAAUAAAUAAAUAAAUUAGAAGCUGAUUAACUUUUACUGUAACCCAUACAGUAGAUGUAUCACUGACCAUGUAAAAUAUAUACAACUCAGAUAACUUUGUGUUGCAAUUGUCUAGACAUUCUGCUGCCCACAGAAUCAGGUCCACACUCCCUUCCAUGGUAUUAAAAGUUGUUCAUAUUCUGAGCCCAGAAAAUUUAGCAGCUUCAAACAUCCUUCUUCUCCCUCUACUCACUUUGUUUUUCAGUGACACCAGUCUAAUAUUUAUGUGCUCUUUUUCUAACAUAUGAAUUGUUAUACCAAGUUGCCCCCCUUAAUAACCCUUUUUUUCUCACGUGCCUUGUCUGUUUCUCUUCACAGAUAAUGUCUACUCAUCUCUUUGGUAGAUAAGAACUAUUCAAACCUUUCCAGAGUGUUUUUGGGGACUUAAUAUUUAAAGAUACGAUACCAUAAAAAGAGAAAAAAAGAUUUAGGGGUUAUCUAGCCCAAUCUUUUCAUUUUGUGGCUAAGGAAACUGAAGCACAAAGAAAGAAUACUGCCCAAAGUCAUACAGUAAUAAAUUAUACAAUCAUGACUAACUAUCUAUGACUUGCCAGUCUCUAUAGCAGUGAUCACAUGAGCCUUUGAUUCAGAUGGUUCUGGCCUUAACCUUGAGAACUUCUGGACGUUACCUCAUGUAACCUUUCUGAAUCUAAAUUAAAAUUGGGAAUAAAAAUAUCCAGAAUAGUGAUUUGUCUUCCGUGAUUACCAGUUCAGUCAUUUAAUCUACCCACAACAUGUUCUUACUUUCCGAGAGAACUGGAAGCUACCGUAACAGCAGAAGAUAUUAAUUAGAACACAGAUUGUGGUGGUAUACAUAUAUACAUGUAUUUUUUUUUCAAAUUCAAAUAUUAAGCCCACUACUUACCACCGUGGUACUCUGGGCAAAUUAGUUAAAUGUGUGUCAAUUUCCUCAUUGGUAAACUGAGAAUAAUUAAUUUGUUUAAUGCAUUCAAACAUAUUUAUUCAGAGAUUUCUAUUCUAGGCUAUAAGGAUUUAGUUGUAAACCACACAAAUAAAAUACCCGUUGCAAUGGAGCUUCCAUUCUGGUAGUAGGGGACACAUAAUAAACUGACAGACUAAUGAUACCCGUCUUCUCCUACCUGCAUAGUGCAUGUGCAUGUGCUGUCUUCUUCCUGGAAUUUUCUUCCCACAGAAAUCUGAAGAGUUAGCUCCCUCUCACCAUUCAAAUUCUUGUUUAAAAGUCACCUUCACUGGUUACCUACUUUAAAUUUAAAUCCCACCCUCAUCACAGUUCAUAUUCCCUUUCCUGUUCUAUUAGUUUUCAAGUGUUAGUCCUAUUUUUUUUCUAAUACACCACGUCUUUUACUUAUUUAUCUUUAUGUUUCAUCUUUCUCACUAAACUGUAAACUGCAUGAGCCCAGGGACAUUUGUCUAUUUUGCCAUCUGCCAUAUCCCAAGAUCUUAGAACAGUGCCUGGUAUGUAUCAGCUGUUUGUUACCUAUUUACUAAAGGACUGAAUUAGUAUCUAAUGUAAUAUUCUAUGGUGAUAUUUGCAAUUAAGCAAAACAAACAAACAAACAAAAAACCACAGUAAGUUGAUAGAGUAAGUAAGGUACUAUUACCUUACUUACCCUGAGAGGGUAACUUUUGACUAGAGACAUGAAUGAAGUGAGAAAAAUGAGUCAUGGUUCCAACUAAUGGUCAAGCAUUCUAGAUAGAGACAACAGCAUGCGCAAAGGCCCUGAGGCUAUUUCAUAUUUAGCAUGCUCUGCAAAUGGAAAAGAAGCAUUUGUGACAAGAGAAGAGUGAGUGAAAAGAAGAAGAUGGGAAACAAAAUGCGAGAAACAGUUCAGACCAUUCAUAUAAGCUGUGGUGAGGACUUUAGAUUUAAUCAUGUGACUGCCUACCAAGAUGUAGUGUUGAGAGGUAUUGAAGAGAAAGCAUGUAUAAUUCUGUUCUCAAGCUGCUGAUAAAGACAUACCUGAGAUUGGGUAAUUUAUAAAGGAAAGAGGUUUAAUGGACUCACAGUUCCACAUGGUUGGGGAGGCUGCACAAUCAUGAUGGAAGAUGAAGGAAGAGCAAAGGGACGUCUUACAUGGUAGGAGGCAACAGAGCUUGUGUAGGGGAACUCCCAUUUAUAAAACCAUCAGAUCUCGUGAGACUUAUUCACUACCAUGAGAACAGUACAGAGAAAACAGCCUCCAUGAUUCAAUUAUCUCCACCUGACUCUGCCCUUGACACGUGGGGAUUAUUACAAUUCAAAGGUGGAUAUGGGUGGGGACACAGCCAAACCAUAUCAGAGCACUUAGCAGAAUAGCAGGCAUGCACACAAAUAUUCAAUGCAAGUUAUUUAUUACCAUGGACUGAUUCACAGUUAUAAGUUACAAACAAGGACAAUGAAAAGUGAAGAGAACACUUAAUUUCAUUCCCUAUGUAUAUACUUGACGUGAACAAUGCAAAACACACAGACAGAAGGCAACUUAGGUUUGAAAGGGAUGUGUGUAAAGUUUUACUUAAGAAAGUAUGUAAAGACUAGUAAAAAGAUGUAUUGGGCCCGGCUGAGGCAGGAGAAUGGCGUGAAUCCGGGAGGCGGAGCUUGCAGCGAGCCGAGAUAGCACCACUACACUCCAGAGCUGGGCAGCACAGUGAGACCCCAUCUCAAAAAGAAAAAAAAAAUAUGGAUUGUAGUUAUUUUCAAAAAAUGCACAUUACACGUAGCAGUCACACUCAGAACCUGAAAUAUUUUAGUCCUAAUCUGUGUUAUCGAUUUUUCUGCACUUACACUCUUAUAAUAUAUAGCUGAAUUUUAUUAAAUAAUGAGUCAAUAGAAUAACAAUAGUAUUCUGUUCACAGAAUUUGUUUAUUUCAAGCUACUGUUUGUUCUCAUAAACACUCCAAAAUAUUACCAGACAGUUCAUUUCACCUCUUUAAAAUGCCUUCCCUUGGAGGAAAUGAUCCAGUAUUGUUGAUUACCUCAAUCUAAAUUCUAUAUAUAUUUAUAAUUAUUCUAAGCCAGAAAGUGAAAGGUAACUUUUAAAAUAUUAUGCUUUAUUAUAUGCCUUAUCAAUGAAGACUUUUUUAUUCAUUAUUAUUUUCUACAUUCAGCACAUUCUCUGGAAUUUUCAAUAAACAUGAUGACAUUUCUGAAGAGAAAAUUUUUAAAUCACCAAGUAACUCAUUGUGAAGGUGGCUAUCAUUUCAAUGUAACACCAAAGUAUCUUCUUUCAACCUUACCUGAGAAAGAGGAAAGUGUUUUCAUACACACACACACACACACACACACACACAAAAACAAAAUCCGAGUUUUUGAGGAUUUUUAAAACUAGAAGCCAUGCUUAUACUUUGUUAUUUAGUUCAAUUCUUUAUGUAAGAGUAAGCAUCUAGUACACUUAGCAGAUUUUGUCAUAUUAAAAAGCAUGUGCUAUAUUUAGUUCCAAAAGGAGUUACAGAAAUUGAUUGAAAAAAUUCACAUGAAGUUGGUAGAAUAUAUAGGCUUUUAAUUAUUUUACUUGUCUAAAGGGUACAUCAAUUAGACAGACUCCUACUAUACACCAUAAAUUAAUCCCAUUCAUUCUAAAAACUUGUUCAUUUUUUCACAACUUUGAAAUUUGGUUGUCCUAAUUAAUCGCUGUUAUAUAAUUCAGGCACUGGAGCCUCUGCAAGGGCUGCGUUUUUCCAGCUUGUAAUCACACAUUCAACAAACAGCCAAGUGCUGCGGACAAUGGGUCCUUCACGCUCCUCUGAGACAGACUUUCUGUCUCUGAUUUAUGGGCUGAGUCCUUCUUGAGAGAAAUGCCUGGUUGGGGACAAUGCACAGCCUAAGGCGGAUUACUUGCCUUGGUUUUUGGCCAUAUCAUCUGAAAACUGUCACUUGAGCACGGGCAAAGCUAAGAGGCCCCUUGGAAUAUUCCCUAGAAGAAACAAAUCCACCGCAUGAUCAGCCUCUUCAGGUUACAUCUGCUUUUUAAAAUCCCAGCGCUGAGAAGUGCGCUGUACCCAGGGGCUCUGAUUCUGCAUUUCCUCACGGAAGGCAAAAGAGCCUGCAGCAAAGGACCCUGGUGGAUGUGAAUGAACACUGCCAACUCAGGCCUUCCCAGCUCAUUAGACGCAGCAAAAAGGGUCAGCCCUUGCCAUCCUGAAAUUUGCUGUCAGAGUUCUUGGACUACAACAUGACUGUUCCCUGCUUCAAACAAACGGAAAAUGAUUCUUAACUUAGGCCAUUCUUAAUUUAAAUGAAUACAUUUUAAAUGAAAUGAAUUUAAAAUGAAAAAAAAAAGUAUUCUAUCUGACCUUUCCUAAUUAUUUUCCUUUUAUUUUAUAUAAUGAUGCAGAGAAAUUACUUACAGUGAGUGUUUCAUAAAACAAACAUAGAAAGCAAAAACAAAACAAAAACAAAAAAAAAUCACCUAGAACUUCAUUGAUUUUGGGGAAAUCUACUGCCUAAAUCAUCUCAGCAAGAAAUCCUAGAGAAAAAGGCAGCACAUUAUUCUGCCCAUUGAUUCUUCUGGUAAUUGCAGUGGCACGAAGAGGGCCAUGACUCUGCCACAUAUGCCAACAGGGAUCCAGGACCCGUUCUGAUGUCUGACAAUGCACACGGAUUUUAUAGAGAGAAUUGCAGACCUCAGAAAUGAGCUUUGUGCCUGGACAGACAAGAAUUCAGAAAAUUUCUGUUGUAUGGAAUUCCCACUUCUCAUUUUCUAUUGUUCUGUAGACUUAGCAAAAUUUUACUUUUUUAAGAGUCUAAUUAUUUAUAUAUUAAUGUAUAUAGGUUGGGCUGGAGGUAGGAGACAAGACAGAAAAGCAUAAAUAACUCUCAAAGUGAUAUAAUAGUCAACAAAUUACCUAAAUAUCUAUAUUAAUAUGAAAUGUUGGUAAAUAUCACAUAAGUAUCUCUCACAUGGAUCCAAGAUAAUUUGAAUUUUUUUACAUUUUUUAAAGAUAUCAAUUAAUAAAUGGGAAGAUAUAUUGAAAAAAAUACUAUUUUAAGGUCUGAUGUAUAUUUCUGCAAGGUAAAUUUUGGCUCUGUCUUCAAGUCUUGGUUUACCAUUCACCAUUUCAAAUAUUGAAAAAUAAGUGAUUUAUUUGAAGAAGAGAAGGAGGAGGAAGGGAGAAAAAAUAUUGAGAAGUUUAAGAACCAGGUAAGCAUUUUAUUUAUUACAAAGAAUAAAGCAUUCAACGCGUUGUCUCACAUAAAAUAAUACAGAAAAAUCCGUUAAGUGUCCUUGCUCUUCAGAAGAAAACAAUGAAUGGAUGCUGAUGUUUUACAACAUUUUGAGAUCAAAUGUAUUUCCUUGUGGCUCUCUGAGAGACAGAAGGGAAGGGCUGGAGAUACUGGCUUUCCAUGGGUACUGGUGUGAUGACACUGAUCUGAAGGCACUGCAAAGUUUUAGAUUCUUGAGUGUACUUGUUAAAUAAAACAAAACAAAAGAGAGAGAAAAAAAUUAGAAUAGGGCAGUAAGUUUGUAUUGUUAUAAUGAAACAUUGUAACACUCUAGGUAUUAUCUCUGCACUGACAUAGAAUAAAAAUAAACUCAUAAGAUGAAUCAAAAAAUGGAACAAGAGCUGAAGCAAUAAUCAUAGUCUUAAAAGUUGGGAAGAGACUUUUUGCCCAACCCAUAAAUUUCACUGAGCCCCUAAAAAAGAGGAAAUAAUUAUUAGAAAUGACUCCAGAUUAUACAUUGACUCCUGGCUCUGUCUUUAUAUUUUUGUGGGGUUUUAGGCAAGUCUGUUACAUUUUCUUAGUCAUCAUUUUAUGAAAUUAAGUGCUUCUAUUAGACUAUGUGGUUAACAUCCAAAGAACUAGAAAUUUAAGAUAAACUAUUUUGAUAAGGAGUAUAAUCUAGGUAGAAUAUUCUUUAUAAUAAAAUAAAUAGAAUUAGUGUGGAUAGGUUUUCAUUAUUACCUGAUAUUAAUUUUAGGGUUACUUCUUAAGAUUUCUUUUUUAUCACAGAAUCUGUAUAGUUGUAUAGUUAAGUGAGAAAUAACCCAAAUUUAUACUCACUUUCAGCUGAUAAUCUAUAAUCAAAGUAAUGCCUAAAGUAUAAUAUAGGCUUUAUUAGGUAUCUACUUCUUACAUUGACAUUAUCUGAAAUUAAACCAUAGACUUAUAUAAUUUUCAGUUUCACAAAAGAAAACCAAAAUAAGCAAUUUAAAAUAUUUUUUUCUUAAAAUAAAGCUGCUAUUGCAUAACAUAUAUUUGACUAUAAAUGUAACCUGUUAGCUAAUGGGACAUGUAAGUACUAUCCAAUUGUCCAAAUAUAAAACUCUGCAGUGGUAGUAAGUACAAGAGUUUAUUCCUGCUCAGCUCAGGUAUGGAAUCUCAAGAGAGCCGUUGUUUAGAUUAAAGAACAAAAAAAAAGACUCCAGUCAAUCCAUUAGUAAAUAUUCUCUCAAUUCAUACAGGAAAGGUAGAUGUUUAGGUGGUUCCAGAUCAGCCUUGCCUUUAGCCCUUAUGUCCCUUGAUGCUCAUAGGCCUCUCCUGGCUGUCUAC
rnacentral:lncRNA from 1 species